AACUGUGGACGGCGUGAGGGCCAGGCGCCACCGACCUUAUUCGUCGGAGGUCUGACCGUCUCCUGGUUGCCUGACGGAGUCGUGGAGGGGCACAACGGCGCAACGCUCGAAGGACCAACUUAAUCAGGUGGGGCAAGGGAGGUUUCAACGGACUGGUAUGUCCAGGAAUGACUUCCACUCCCUCUAGAUACACCAGUCCACAAGUUCCAGAUCGGAGACAAGGUACUGGUCCGGACGUGGAAAGAUGAGCUGCUUCAGCCCAGGUGGAAGGGACCGUAUCCUGUGAUUCUUACUACUCACGCUACAGUGAAGGUUCAGGGGGUAAAACCGUGAAUACACUACAUUUGGGUGAAGGCCGCACCAGAAGUACCACCUGCAGGAGAAGUUGCUGAGAGUGUCGCACCGGAAGCCGACACAAACGGACACCGUUGGACAGCAGAGCCAGUAAAAGGACUCAAAUUUCUGUUUAAAUGUCAACCAUGUGAAAAAUAGUUCUUUGCGUAGGUAUAAUGUUUCUAGAGUCUAAGGGGUUGGUGCAUCAAAAGUUCGAUAAGAGUCAAAAUGUGUGGGUUCAUUUGGCAAAGGACGUAUUAAAUGUCACUCAUCUUUGUUUGGCAGGUGAAAUAUCGGUUAAUGAUAUUUUCACGUCAUGCCUUAUAGGGGUGCCCACUCCAAUGGAAGCACUCCGGAAUCAGACUUGGUUCACAUCUGGGGGAAUAGGAGGUCCAAUCAAUUACACUAACAACUCCAUGUGGGGAACCAUUACCACAGAAAAAACAAAAA